rnacentral:tRNA from 1 species
CCUUCGAUAGCUCAGUUGGUAGAGCGGUGGACUGUAGAGAAAAUUCGGAGGGUUGCUUCCAAGUCGUUCAAACACUUAAUCCAAACCUCCAAGAGUUGUAAAAGAAAUCCAUAGGUCACUGGUUCAAAUCCGGUUCGAAGGA